AACUCCUUCCUAAUAUUUAAAUAUUAAGGGUCCGUUUGGAAGUCAGGAAAACAUUUUCUGGAAAAUGUUUUCCUGGUUUUACGGUGUUUGGAAGCUUGAAGGGAAAAUGUUUUACUAGACAAGGGUAAAAUGGCUUUCAAUUUUGGGAAAAUGACUUACUGAUUUCAUUUCUAUAAGACAUUUUCCAUUUCCUCUUCAUCCAGGUAAUCUUCUUCUUCUUCCAUUCUUCAAAUCUCUUCCAUUUUUCCUUAGUCCGUCGCAUAUCUUCUCUUCUCAAGCAAAUUUUACACGCUGCUGUUUCAUUUCCUAUCUUCCCCUUUUUCUCAGGAUCUCAUUCCUCUUUGCAAGGAACUGAUAUCAGUCGACUGAUAUCACUGGUGUCAAGAAGCAAGGCUUCCCUUGCCUUAAAGGAUCUCAAUAGUUUCAAUACCUGCCCGAAAGCUGAAUUUCGCAAGCCCUAGAAGUAGUGUGGUUGGUCCAAAUGAUGACGGAAGAAGCAUGGUAAGCAUUCAGUCAGAAAGAAACCGUAGGCAUAGCAUUGCAGGCUCCUCAAUGCAUGACAAUAAGGGCCAAGGAAGCUCUCCAUCGCUUCCAAGUUACAUGGUACCGACUGAAUCCACAAGAGCUAAGACCAAGUUGCAAAGUCCAUUGGGACUAGAAGCAAAUGAAACACCUGAGAAGGGACCAAUUGCGUCUGCCAAGAAACGCCUUUCUUAUCCACCUUCACCAGCUAGGCCAAGACAACACUUACUAAUACAGAAGUUGGUGUCAUGAAUGGAAAGGGCAGUUAGUCAUUUUAUGUCAUAAAAAAUAUAAUAUUAAAGAAUGCAAGCAUCUGUACAUGGGUAUGGAGAAGUCCAAAAUGAGCAAAAACAAAAAAGGGGGGUGAGGGGAAGGAAGCAAGGAGGAGCUAUAGUCAUUUGAUUUCUAAAGUUUUUAAUUCAUUAAUGCCUAAGUGGUUUUUGUUGGGGUAUAAUUGAGGUAUUUUCUAUUUAAUUAACUUAUUUUUUUUAUGGCAUUUUGCAGUUUAGCUUAGGGUAGUUUUAAUCCAUAUUUCAGGUUGGAGCUUGUUUAUAGAGACUUCCAAUUACUUCUUAUUUUUGGCUUGUUUAUUCACCAGAAACUAGGGUUGUAAUCAAAGCGAAACUGAGCUUGAUAAACUUCGAAAUCCACAGCUUAAUGUUUGCCUCAAA